AGAGCGUUCCAUUUAUUUCAGAAAUAGCCUUCACGUUCUUUUUUCUCUCCUUGAUUCGAUUACAUUUCUUUUGCACAUUUUACUCAUUUUAUGGCAUCGAUUGUACGUCAUAUAUAAAUAAAUUGGUAGAGAUACUCAUGUGUCAGUUCACAAGUUUCAAGUCCUCUGUCAAGAUCAGGUCGCGAGUAAACAGCAGCAAUGUACAAGUACUUGGUGUUUUUAAUGCUUCUAGUCGCGGUUAUCUGCCACGCUGCGGCCAUCCCACAACCUGAUGGAGGUCAUGGUAGCCACGGUAGCCACGGUGGACACGGUGGAGGCCACGGUGGACACGGAGGAGGCCACGGCGGUCACCACGGGCAUCAUUAUUAAGAUACUGGAUUAUAUUCACUUCAAACAUGUCUCACAAAGACACUAGUCAACAGGCAGUGUAACUAAAAAUUUUAGACAAUAAAUCGACGUUUCAAUAAGUAA